CCGCCUUCCCCGGGGGACCGCCGAUGCCGCGGUUGAGAGGAGGGUAGGGCGCCCAUGAAAGUAUCACUUUCAUGGGACCCGAGGCAGCCCUCGACCCGCUGAACCUGAUCCGGCUGACACCGGCGUAGGGAGUGGAUGCGGCGUCCCC
rnacentral:ncRNA from 1 species